CUGGGAGCGCAACAGCCUUUGAUGCCAUCUUCAGCGCGAAAACUAACGAAAAUAGCAGGAAGGGAGGAAAGAGUACUUUUUUCCCCCUCCCCCGCCCCCCCAAACUAAGGCUUUUCUUACCUCACCCACGACCCGUACACAACGUCACAGAAAUGGGUUUGAAGACCGCUCUUAACUGCCGUGAAUUCUGUGAAUUCCGACUUGAGCAAUAAAGUUAAAAGGGGAAUGAAAAAAAAAAAAGAAGAAGAAGAAGAAGAAGCAAGCCAUCAGGCUGGAAUUCCUUAACAGCAGCACCCUGCUAAUGACCCUUUUGUCCUUAAAGCACCACUCAGCCUCUGCUUUUACAUCCCGCCUUGUUUUGUUCUGCGGGAAUAUUCGCAUAUCACAUGAAAGGGAUGUGUGAACGGACGCAUUUCCCCCCUCCUAUCAAUAUUCCUAUUUUGUCAGUUCCUUAAUGCAUGCAGGAACCUCUCCCAUAGCAACACAGAAAGCUUAAGAAACUUUGCCUAAUUCUUUAAUUACCUUUUUCUUUCUAUUAAGAGGAGCUCGGGCAUUUCUGAGACAGAAAAUCAAUACAUCAUCUAUUAUAUUAGUCUCGGGAACAGCAGAUCUAGCCGUACUGAUGGUGAAAGGCCGAGUGUUCUGGAAUAAAGCGUAGACUUCUGAUCUUCCUGAAGUAUUUAAGGCGAUUGAGAAUGUAAGGAUUUAUAAAGAAACUUCGGGUUUAUGCUUUACAUGAUUCAAAGUAUUAUGCUCUUUCUUUCUUUUUUUUUUUUUUCCUUUCCCUUCUCAGUUUUAGGAAUAUCAUAAAGAGAUCGUUUUUGUGAUUCCAAGCCAGGCCGAGUUGUUCUGAUGUCCGCAGCAGCUGGAAGAGAAAACCAUACAACGGCUGAUGGAGUUGGCUGCAGCAAGAAAAUCACAUCUCAGUUCCCAGGAUUUCAGAAAGAUGGGCCUCCUCCGAUAGUUGCAAAUCUCUGCAAAACGUUCUGGUGCUGCUGUGCACUGGUUUGAUCAGAUCUUGGCGAUUUCCUCCUGCGUGCACUCCAUGGCUCUGCUCUUGAGGAUGGAUGAUGCUACCCGGAACUGUGUCUGAUUCAGUGUGCUGAAGGAGGAGAGAAGGGGGAUGCGGAGUUGAUCUUCAAAACUGGCCCGCGUAUUUUGGGUAACAUGUAACGUGUCACAUUUAUUCUAGGCUCACAGCAGCCUAGUUGUGAGAAAAAAAUGUGGAACCAACAUAUGGCUUAGAACUGCUAGCAAUGCAGGGCUAGCAGGAGGUACUUCUGAGGUGCUACACCAUCCACAACACUCGAAUUUUAAAUGUGAUCCGAGUGUGUCCUCUCGAGUGUGACCUGACAGUAAUUAUCGAUCAGGGUCUUCAGUCACUGCUUGAAUUCCUUAGGUCAGUUGAUUUUGAUCAACUGUUUUGUCUUUGUUUUGCUUCCCUGGGGGAAGGGGAAAAGUUGGUUGUGCUGGGAGGGAAGGAACAGCACUGACCAUAGCACUGCAACAUGUAGCACCAACAGAUUUAUUCCUUGGAACAACAACAAAAAAAGUGGGUUUCGAAGGUUUCGAUACCCCCGAUUAAACCAAAGCUGUUCGCGAGGAAAAUGAGAACAGUUGGUGAUGCUCUCGACUACUUUCUUACAGGUCUGAGCCGUUGGCAGCACUGCUGUGCUGAUUCCCCUUCGUCUAAGCGUUCCUGACCGAUCCGUGCCUUGCCCGGAGCGGAAAGGUAAAGAGAGGUCCUUCCGUUUGUGUCGGAGAUGGCUUCUUUCCUGGGCUGGCUUUCUUUGCGGCGUAGGUACGCCGAACCCUGCCGCUUUCCAGUGCCCUUUUUCAGAAGGUUACGCUUCUCUGUGAAAGCGGUAGGUGGCAAGAAAAGGAGAUGGUGAAGCGCUGGCAACACCCAGUGGGUUCAUUAGCUGCUCUUUGCCAUUCGGCCUGAAGGGGCCCGUUCGAAUCACCUGAAAGGUCUCCAGCAGGUAUCUGCAUUGAUAUCUGAUACAGAUAUCUGUAUUGAUAUCUGCUGCAAAGCUGUCUCUGAUGGGACAUUCCAAAGCACGGCCUGCUUUACCCCAUGCCGUGAUUUUCCGGGCCUUGUCCCUCCUGUUAUCAGUGGGAGCGGUCUCCCCAUGGCAGAGCAGAGAUACAAGCUCAGCUUUAGCCCUGAUGCCCCAAUAACUUUCAUUCAUUUCAUCUGUUCACAUGGUGCUGUGAAACUUGCUGGCUUAAUCACUCCUCCCAGGGAUUCUUCUGCUCGGAACUGAACACCGGUGAACACAAAAUGCAUACAUACAUACAAAAGGUAUGUCACAUAUACGUAAACAGGCAAAAAACAAAAAAAAGCCACACCAGUACGAAUGCCUGCAGCACAAAAUCACCUUCACUCGGGCAGACCGGAGCUGGCAGAGCCCCUCACGUGGCACGGGAGCCGUGCUGACUCACGCGCUCACACGGGAAAUCCCAGCAUGCUUUCUGGCCGCCUCUCAUUCAAAUGAUUCUUCCCAGUCCUCUGCUUUUGGGAAGUGAGCCUCAGUCUGCAUCUCACGCCCUGGCGCUCUCAUGCUGUAUUUCCUGCUCAGCACAAAGCUAGCCCAGCUAACUUGACCAGAGCUGCCUGUGAGUUUCCUAGAUGUGCCCACGUAGUGCUGCUGACUGGUUUCACGUCUCACGGCUGUCGCAUCCUGACUUUUGCCUUACAGAAUGCUGUGCUCAGGCUGCCUUUAAAACGCACGACUACGUAGAAGCUCCACGGGGAUCUGCAGGGAUAUGCAAACGUGACUCCUUUUACAAAAGCCACGGUGCUUUCUUCUCACCUCCGUGCAGAUGCCACUUCAUUUCUGCCGUGGGUUCUAAUAAGGCCUCUGGCAGGUGGGCAAAACGUUACGCUCUACCGUUGCCUUUCUUGGGAAAUCCCCUGAAAAUUCUCAAUAUCACAAAUGAAAGAUUUAUUUUGCCCUAAACGACAUUAUUCCGAUUAAAUCCAUAGAGGCUACAGUGAAUAAGCAACAUACAGUCUCGUCGUUGCACCGAGAAAGCGCCGGCAGGGUACAGCGCACGCGCCUGCAUAUUCUAAUCGGCUCUGUGAGUGGGCCGUCUAAGGCAGCAGAUGCAUUAACUGUUGGCUUUAAUUAAUACCCGCGCUAAUGACCGCUAGAGAGUGCUCUUGUCCCUGUUGGUGAGCGCUGCCGCAUUUUCGUCCUCUGAGGAAAUGGGACAGCCGAUUCCAGCGCCGUAGGGAUGAGAGUGAAUUGGUAAGGAGGCGAACCCCAUCAGUUGUUUAAGUCAGGCACGGCGCCUGGCCGUGUGUGUCCCACUCGGGUAUGUUCCCUCUAACUGGGGGCUGCCUAAACCAGGCAGUAUCUUCUGCCCUACGUCUUCAAUACGCUGUGCUUUUUGCACAAAAAUAGCAAAAGAGGACGAUAGCAAAGGCUUUAAUUCAGCCGAGCUGCUGGUGUUGAAGUUAAGAAGCACCUACUGAAAUGCUUUGCAUUUGGUACAAAAGCCAGUCAUUCUCUUCCGAACAUAACGUGACUUUUCAUGUUUGGUGCAGUCAGGGUUUUGCAGCCAGGUUUUUCCUAAGGCUUUUCAGUCUCGUGUGCUGCCCCGUCUUUGGAAACGCCUUGUUUCCAAGUCCCGGAGCUCUCACUUGUGUUGGGCUGCUCUCUGUCGCACACUUUGCUGUAGUGCACGUCUCUCGGCAGCUUCACUGCUUUCUGGGCACACUGAGCUGGGAGUUCCACCUGCCAUGCAGCUGACGCCCCGAGCUGCUGGGAACGUCUCCCUUUGGCCAGUUCAGCUUCUAUCCAUCUUGUUUAUAAAGUGCCACUGAGAUUCAUAGCAGAGCGCCGGUGUACCAUGAGAGCACCACGGCCCGCCUGGCUUCCUGGCAUGGAAAUACAGCCAGCUGUGAUUCACUAUGCAGGUGAGGCACUUGGCUGAGCUCAGUGUGAUGCUGUGAUGCUGCUGUAUCUGUAUGCACAUUGCCAGUGCCCCGUGCGAUGUGUGCUGAAACCACAACAGCUUCCAAGCAGACCACCCACUGCACUGCGCAGCAAUGCGUUUUACAUAUCUGACAGACCUUUGAGUUGUUUCCUUUUUUAUCGUGUUCUAUUUCUUCUAAAUCGCGUUCCUCCGAAUCUGGCAUUUAUAGAACAAUAGGUGCAAAUAAUGGUUCGGUUCUCUGUGUGCUCACGCUUGCUGACAAGAAACCGUCAAGAUUAGAGGAGGGAGUUUUGUCUCUGUAUAAACUGAAGUGGAUGAGAUUACUCGUGCCGCAGCUCACGCUGUGCACUUCUGAAUGAGGCAGCCAGCUCCCGGCUGAUGCUUUUUCUUGCCCUCAAAAUGAAAUGAGGUAGCCCUGAGAGUGCAGCGAAAGCCGCCGUACUCCUGAAUUAGUCCAAACCGCAGCUGUGUCAUUCUGGAGCUGGGAGCCUGGGGCAUUCCUACGCAACACUGCUGCCAUCCAACAUGUCAGAGAGGUGAAGACAGAGCCAUUCUUACCACGGGUCCUGGGACAGCGCUGGGAUGCCGCUGUCAGAAGCAUCUGCAUCUCUCCAAGGGAUGGCAGCGCCGCGCUGCUCUGCCAUGUUACGGCUGCCCUGGCAGACAUGAUGCCGCUCCAAAAUGUGCAUUCCCUGCAGUUGGUACAGUUCCUUCUUAACAGUUUAAGUUCUGGUUGGUUGAAAUGCAUUUCGUAGACUUUCGUAAUGAUGUGUUUUGAUUAAAAAUGCGGGUGUUUUAAGGCAGAGGGAUCGGAAAAGAGCAUAAUUUCUGUGUGCUUUGCAGGGCAAACAGGGCGCAUUCCUCUGUAUUUGAUGUGAUUUUCAGGCAGCUCUGAAAGGUCUCACGAGCAUAUGCUACAGUCCCCUUGAGACUCCGGUGAGAUCUUCUCAGUGAGACCUUCUCAGCUGUAUCUGGCUUCACUGGUGCCAAGAGCUGCCACUGGCCAGCAGGUACAAGAGCACAUCAAUGCUUAGGAUCGCAGCUCUGGUUAGCGAAACUUACCUGGACACCCAUCAGAAGCAAGCAGAUUAACGGAACAGAGCCUGCUGCUGACUCAGGGGAUCUUAAAGCACUUGGAAUCCACACAUCAAAUUAAUCAUAAUUAAUCUUAUAUAUGUAGGUUGCUCCAAAAGUAAUGCUUCCUAUUCAUUUCCACCGAAACAUCAGAUACAAAGGGCACAGUAACACUGUUUGAUAGAAGAAAUUCUCAGUUACAGAACACAUUUUUUUCAGCAUAGUAGCCACCAUUAGCUAGGCAUCUGUCACACAGCAACAACACGGGUUGGAAUAUGGGUGGGAAGGUGCAACCCCUACUGCUGUAUCACCAGCGUCCAUUCUGAUGCCAAGGGCCAAUAUCACAAAUUAGGAGGCAUUACUUCCGGAGCAGCCCUUGCACAAAGUGGCAUGUUGGGCGCGUUGUGGUGCAUCGCCCUUCUCCCUUCAGCCACUAUCCCUGCUGGCUAUCAGUGUGUAGCGCAGUUCUGUUCAGAUUGUUAAGGAGUGGAAGAAGAGAGCAGCUCAGAGUGAGCCACAGCAGCGUGCCAUUUAUUGAAUGUUAGAGACCUCAAGAUCUGGGGAGCGAUGCUAGAAUCACGAACCCUCAGCAAGUCCUCCUUUUCCCAUACAUAAAUUUUUCCAGUCCAAAAAACAGAAUCUGGUGUGGGUUUGUUUUCUUUUUUUCCAUCAUCUGUGGGUGUCUGGUAGUCUAUUCAAAGAGUGUAACCUAGCAAUAAGUAUCUCAGCAUGCACUGUGAGUAUCCAGGAAUCCUUAGUAGGGACCAAGACGUGUGUAUAAUUAUUUAUUUGUUUGUUUGUUUGUUUGUUUAUUUGUUUACAACCAGUGGAUCCAAAAGACCUGGAAGCUUCCCAGCCCUGGCCCAUGUAUCUGUAGUCAUCCUUCAUGUGCUCAGCCAGUCCUGGGUGUUCCAGGCACAUCUGUAAAACCCUUCCCCGAGCGCUCAGUAAAUCCAUGUGUGUACGCAAUGAUCACCGUGCAACUGCUGCAUGACAUGUAUGCAUUUAUCCGAAACGUCAUCUGGUAGAAAUAUGGCAGCCUCAUAUAAGAAUAUUAAGGAUUAUUUUGUCAUUACCUCAACCAAGAUGCUGAUUUUGGACUAAGAUCCUG
ensembl:lncRNA